GUUAAGGCGCCCGAUGCCGACGCUCAUCAGACCCCAGAAAAGGUGUUGGUCGAUAUAGACAGCAGGACGGUGGCCAUGGAAGUCGGAAUCCGCUAAGGAGUGUGUAACAACUCCUGUGGGUUCCUGUGGGUUCGAUUCCCACGGGGGGCCAGCACAGAAAAAAAUAAAAAAAUGUAUGAAAUGUAUGCAUUCACUACUGUAAGUCGCUCUGGAUAAGAGCAUCUGCUAAAUGACUCAAAUGUAAAUGCAAAUGUAAAAACUCACCUGCCGAAUCAACUAGCCCUGAAAAUGGAUGGCGCUGGAGCGUCGGGCCCAUAC
rnacentral:ncRNA from 1 species